GUAGCUCAGUAGCAGAGCAUCUGCUUUGCAUGCAGAAGGUCCCGGGUUCAAGCCCCAUCACCUCCA